UACGUAGGGUGCGAGCGUUAAUCGGAAUUACUGGGCGUAAAGUGUGCGCAGGCGGCCGCGCAAGUCGAGUGUGAAAGCCCCGAGCUUAACUUGGGAACUGCGCUCGAAACUACGUGGCUGGAGUGUGGCAGAGGAAGGUGGAAUUCCACGUGUAGCGGUGAAAUGCGUAGAGAUGUGGAGGAAGCACCAAUGGCGAAGGCAGCCUUCUGGGCCAACACUGACGCUCAUGCACGAAAGCGUGGGGAGCAAACAGG
rnacentral:rRNA from 1 species